rnacentral:antisense_RNA from 1 species
CAUUAUGGCGGACUGUCUGGGCAGCGUUCGGCGCUGGCCGGCUCCAUUGCCCGGUUUUCGACCCCAUUCAGUCCGUCGCCCAA